CUGUCUGACGUCACUACACUCUCUGACAGAUUAUUCGUGAGCCAGGUUUUCCCGCAUCAUCAGGAAUGAGUGCUAAAGCUGCGUGGAAGCUGAUCGCAAUUACCUUCAUGGCUAUUGCGGUGAAUCAUGGCUCAUCGUGCAACAAGCAACUGCCAGGAAUUGGACCACGCCUUCUGAGUGCAAAGGCCGCUUUCGGAGACUUCAUGCGAACCUGCAAGAAAGAGAUCCUGGAUGUGGCCAAAUUUGUUCCGUCUGCCAAUGUCCAAAAGUUACUACGAGUUUUCUGCCACUUCUAUAACAUCUGCAAAGGGG